CGGCGGCGAGGCAGGCAAGGCCGCGCUGGGCGGCGGCAGAGGACUGCGCUACGGCCGUGAGGCGGCGAGCCAGGCGCGGCGGCGGGCCGGCGGCCGAGGCAAGGCACGCAGGCGCGGCGGCGAGGCAGGCGACGCCGGAUUUGGGUCGGCGGGACAGGUCUGCGCGCGGAGCGCCGGCCUCGAACGCCCGCGUGCGCCGGCGAGGCAGGCAAGGCGCGUCUUUGGGGCGGCGGACGCCCGUGCGGGGCGAGCUCGCCGGCGAAGAUCCGCGCGCGGCGGCGAGGCAGGGGCUGCGCAGGUUUGGGGCGGCGGCGCAGCUGUGCGCAGCGCGUGACGGCGAGGCAGGCGAGGGCCCGUGCGGGGGCGGGGCCACACGCAAGAGAAGGCGGAGGAAGAGCCUCGGCGAGCAGGGGCCUGCUCCUCUGAAGUCCGAUUCAGGCAUCCGGCGAGGUAGCUGCUGCGGGCAGGCCCAAGGACAUGGACGAUUACCCAAGCUUGUUGCGAAGGUACUAGGAGAUGGAGGAGGAUGAUGACUUGGAAUUUUGGCUUGAGGAUGAUGAAGAACUGGAGGUCGCGACAUACAACCACCUGCUGGAAGCAGAGAGUUCUCGCCCGCGUCGACGAUCUCAUCCACCUGAUGCUCCACCAAAGGUCAUUCGGCCGAGGGAUCUUCCCUCUGGUCACAGGCAGAUCAAAGGCGACUACUUUGUUGCAAAUCCUGUUUACAACGAUAAGCAAUUCCAUAGAAGGCAUUUAUUUAAGCAGAUUAAAGAGGCUGUUAAGAAUCACGAUAUCUACUUCAAAAAAAAAAGUGUGAUACCACUGGUAAGGAAGGUCUAUCGGCUCUUCAAAAGUGUGUGACUUCGUUGCGCAUUCUCGCCUACGGACUGUCGUUGGAUGUCGUUGACGAGUACGUGCGUAUUGGAGAGUCAACGGCACGUCAAGCUUUGCAUCAUUUCUGUCGGGCUGUCAUUGAUGUUUUUGGUGAGUAUUACCUACAGGCACCCAAAGCUGAUGAUGUAGCUAGGCUUCUUCAAGAGGGUGAGAGUCGUGGGUUCCCGGGGAUGCUAGGCAGCAUUGACUGCAUGCACUGGGAGUGGAAGAACUGCCCGACAUCAUGGAAAGGUCAAUUCACGGGCAGAGGGAAGCAUCCCACUAUGAUCUUAGAGGCAGUUGCAUUGCAUGAUCUAUGGAUAUGGCAUGCUUACUUUGGGAUGCCUGGAAGUAACAAUGACAUUAACGUUCUUCAUAGAUCC